UGGGGAAUCUUGGACAAUGGGCGCAAGCCUGACCCAGCAACGCCGCGUGAAGGAUGAAGUAUUUCGGUAUGUAAACUUCGAAAGAAUAGGAAGAAUAAAAUGACGGUACUAUUUUUAAGGUCCGGCUAACUACGUGCCAGCAGCCGCGGUAAUACGUAGGGACCAAGCGUUGUUCGGAUUUACUGGGCGUAAAGGGCGCGUAGGCGGCGUAAUAAGUCACUUGUGAAAUCUCCGGGCUUAACUCGGAGCGGCCAAGUGAUACUGUUAGGCUAGAGUGCAGAAAGGGCAAUCGGAAUUCUUGGUGUAGCGGUGAAAUGCGUAGAUAUCAAGAGGAACACCUGAGGUGAAGACGGGUUGCUGGGCUGACACUGACGCUGAGGCGCGAAAGCCAGGGGAGCAAACGGGAUUAGAUACCCAUGUAGUCCCUGAGCGGGCUGGCAAGGCGCAU
rnacentral:rRNA from 1 species